rnacentral:lncRNA from 1 species
GAAAAUGCAAAAAUUAAAGUUACAAUUAUCAGCUAAAAAUUAAAAUCGCACUCAUAAUGGGUACAAUAUUUAUUUUAAGCAUUUUAAUUUAAUUUUAAUAAGUGAGUUUCUUUUUAUGUGUGUAUAAUUAAUUUCAACUUUUAGCAAUUGUUUUUAAAAAAAAUGAAAUUCCAAAAAAAUUAAAAAUUCCAAAAUAAUUUUAAAAAUAAAAUUCCAAAAAAUUUAAAAAUUCAAAGAAAAUGCAAAAAAAUAAAAGUUACAAUUAUCAGCUAAAAAUUAAAAUCGCACUCAUAAUGGGUACAAUAUUUAUUUUAAGCAUUUUA